GCCCUGAGCCGAAGGCAGACGCUUAAUGACUGAGCCACCCAGGCGCCCCUCAGAGGUUUGGUCUCUUGCAUUUGACCUCUUGGAUUUUCUCUGUCUCUGACGCCUUGGCACUCCUGCUUGUCUGAUGGGCAACUCUACCCUCAUAGCUCAGUCCUGCCUUGGGCAGUCUUGCAUUUGACAGUGCCACGUCAAAGAGAUAGAGACAGCUAGCGAGAGAGGGAACACAAGCAGGGGGAGCGGGAGAGG